rnacentral:rRNA from 1 species
GCUGGUCUGAGAGGAUGAUCAGCCACACUGGAACUGGAACACGGUCCAGACUCCUACGGGAGGCAGCAGUGAGGAAUUUUGCGCAAUGGGGGAAACCCUGACGCAGCAACGCCGCGUGAGCGAAGAAGGCCCUCGGGUCGUAAAGCUCUGUCAAGUGGGAAAAAAAUCCUUUGAUCAAUAGUCAAAAGACUUGAUGGUACCACUGGAGGAAGCACCGGCUAACUCCGUGCCAGCAGCCGCGGUAAUACGGAGGGUGCAAGCGUUGUUCGGAUUUACUGGGCGUAAAGAGCGUGUAGGCGGUUUAGCAAGUCAGAUGUGAAAGCCCUGGGCUCAACCCGGGAAGUGCAUUUGAAACUGCUUCACUAGAGUAUGGGAGAGGAGAUUGGAAUUCCUGGUGUAGAGGUGAAAUUCGUAGAUAUCAGGAGGAACACCCGUGGCGAAGGCGAUUCUCUGGACCAAUACUGACGCUGAGACGCGAAAGCGUGGGGAGCAAACAAGAUUAGAUACCCUGGUAGUCCACGCCGUAAACGAUGAGAACUAGGUGUAGUGGGUAUUGACCCUUGCUGUGCCGAAGUUAACGCAUUAAGUUCUCCGCCUGGGGAGUACGGCCGCAAGGCUAAAACUCAAAGGAAUUGACGGGGGCCCGCACAAGCGGUGGAGCAUGUGGUUUAAUUCGACGCAACGCGAAGAACCUUACCUGGGUUUGACAUCCUUUGACCGUCUGGGAAACCAGAUUUUUCCGGUUUUGCCGGAACAGAGUGACAGGUGCUGCAUGGCUGUCGUCAGCUCGUGUCGUGAGAUGUUGGGUUAAGUCCCGCAACGAGCGUAACCCUUGUCUUUAGUUGCCACUAUUAAGUUAGGCACUCUAAAGAGACUGCCUCGGUUAACGGGGAGGAAGGUGGGGAUGACGUCAAGUCCUCAUGGCCUUUAUAUCCAGGGCUACACACGUGCUACAAUGGGCUGUACAAAGGGUUGCUAUCCCGCGAGGGGGCGCUAAUCCCAAAAAGCAGUUCUCAGUUCGGAUUGAAGUCUGCAACUCGACUUCAUGAAGGUGGAAUCGCUAGUAAUCGUGGAUCAGCAUGCCACGGUGAAUACGUUCCCGGGCCUUGUACACACCGCCCGUCACACCACGAAAGUCGACUGUACCAGAAGUUGCUGGGCUAACCUCUUCGGAGGAGGCAGGUACCUAAGGUACGGCCGGUAAUUGGGGUGAAGUCGAAACAAGGUA